AGCUUUUCACAAUGGUAGUAUCGUAGCCAAUGAGGUUUAUCCAAGGCGCAAUUAUUGCUAAUUGAAAACAAAAUAAGUCUCGAUAAAU
rnacentral:snRNA from 12 species